CGAGUACAGUGGCGAACGGGUGCGUAACACGUGAGUACUUCCCUCUUAGUGAAGAAUACCUUCGAGAAAUCGAAGUUAAUACUGCAUAAGUCCCUUCGGGGAGAAAGGUGGCCUCUUGCUGCCGCUAAGAGAUAGGCUUGCGGACUAUUAGCUUGUUGGUGGGGUAAUGGCCUACCAAGGCAAUGAUGGUUAGCCGACCUGAGAGGGUGAUCGGCCACAUUGGGACUGAGAUACGGCCCAGACUCCUACGGGAGGCAGCAGUGGGGAAUAUUGCACAAUGGGCGAAAGCCUGAUGCAGCGACGCCGCGUGGAGGAUGACGGUUUUCGGAUUGUAAACUCCUGUUAAGUGGGAAGAAAGAUAUGUAGUUAAUAGCUACAGAAGAUGACGGUACCACUAAAGAAAGCUCCGGCUAACUUCGUGCCAGCAGCCGCGGUAAUACGAGGGGAGCAAGCGUUAUUCGGAAUUACUGGGCGUAAAGGGCGCGUAGGCGGCAUACCAAGUCAGUUGUUAAAGACCUCGGCUCAACCGAGGAAGUGCGAUUGAAACUGGUAAGCUAGAGUACGGAAGAGAGAAGUGGAAUUAUCGGAGUAGCGGUAAAAUGCGUAGAUCUCGAUAGGAACACCAAUUGCGAAGGCAGCUUCUUGGUCUGUAACUGACGCUGAGGCGCGAAAGCGUGGGUAGCAAACAGGAUUAGAUACCCUGGUAGUCCACGCCGUAAACGAUGAUCACUAGAUGUUGGUUCUGCUUGCAGAAUCAGUGUCGUAGCUAACGCGUUAAGUGAUCCGCCUGGGGACUACGGUCGCAAGAUUAAAACUCAAAGGAAUUGACGGGGGUCCGCACAAGCGGUGGAACAUGUGGUUUAAUUCGACACUACGCGAGGAACCUUACCUAGGCUUGACAUGCUUUAGACCGCCAUGGAAACAUGGUCUUCUAAGUUUACUUAGACUAUUGCACAGGUGCUGCAUGGCUGUCGUCAGCUCGUGUCGUGAGAUGUUGGGUUAAGUCCUUUAACGAGCGCAACCCCUGCUAUCAGUUGCUACUAUUUAGUUAAGCACUCUGAUGGGACUGCCUGGGAAACCAGGAGGAAGGUGGGGACGACGUCAAGUCAUCAUGGCCCUUAUGUCUAGGGCAACACACGUGUUACAAUGGCUAGUACAAAGGGAAGCGAGCCCGCGAGGGGGAGCAAAUCCCAGAAAGCUAGUCUAAGUUCGGAUUGAAGUCUGCAACUCGACUUCAUGAAGUUGAAAUCGCUAGUAAUCGCGUAUCAGAACGACGCGGUGAAUACGUUCUCGGACCUUGUACACACCGCCCGUCACACCACGAAAAUUGUCCUCACCCGAAAUCAUCUUAGCUAACCUCGCAAGAGGGGGCGGGUGCUGAAGGUGGGGGGAGUAAUUGGGGUGAAGUCGGAACAAGGUA
rnacentral:rRNA from 1 species